rnacentral:rRNA from 1 species
AUGGGUUGCGGCACCUCCAAGGAAGCCGUGCUCAGCAGCGACGGCAGCGGCAGGUGCAGCCGCAGGUUCCGGCGGAAGUCCAGCGUCGUCGCCACCGCCGCUCACCAGCCGGUCGCCACCAAGGACAAUGGCGACGACGUCAAGGUCCACAGGUCGGCGUCGGCGAAGGAGAAGGCCUCCAAGGAGCGGGGCGGCAAGGCCGGUUUGGCGGCGCUCGUCGUCAAGGACGGCGACGAGGCUGCGUCCACCGUGAUCGGCGCCAAGGUCGUCGGGGAGAAGAAAGAGGGGGAGAGCAAGAAGGACGGUAAGAAGGGAGCAGUCGCCGUUCCCGACGACAAGGGGAAGGGGACGGCGACCGAGGAGGCUGCCGGGCCGAAGAAAGACGAGGGCGUCAGGGACAAGGAGGUUGUCGCCGAUCGGGACGACGGUGUGGCAUCGACCAGCGAGAGCGUCAUCGUCGUCGAGGAGAUGAGGAAUGGCCAGCCUGUCGAGGUGUCGAUCGCGCCUACCGUCGAGGCGGGAAGAGACCGUCGGCGGGGCGAAGAUCAGGAAGGAUGGUCGGCCGAGGCGAUUGAAGACGAAGCGGCGUCGUCGAACGAGAAGGACAUCGAGGAGAUCAACGUGGAGGAUGACGCUAGUGUCGGCUUCGCGGAUGCCCCCGUGGGGGGGACGGGGGUAGUCACCAUGGAGGAUGCCAGUAUCAUCCCAGCCGAUGCUCCGGCGAUAGAGAAAGACGAGAUUGACACGUUCGUGCCUGCUCCGGUGGCCAACGAGGAUGCCGGUGCCACCUUCCUGGCUGCCCCGGUGGCCGGUGAUGAUGGCAGUGCCUCCUUCGUUGCUGCGCCGGCGGCCAAGGAGGACGAACUUGUAUCCAUCGCGUCUGCUCCGUUGGCGGGGGAGAUUGAGGGUAUCACCAUGGCGGCUGCUCCGGUCGCCGACGAGGUUGAUGUUGCCACCUUCCCGGCCGCUCCGGUGGCCAAGGAGCAGGAAAGUGAAACUGCCGCCUUGGUGGAUGCUCCGGUCGCCGAGGAGGUUAACGUUGCCACCUUCCCAUCCGCUCCGGUGGCCAAGGAGCAGGAAACUGAAACUGCCGCCCUCGUGGCUGCUCCGGUCGCCGAGGAGGUUGACGUUGCCUCCUUCCCGGCCGCUCCGGUGACCAAGCAGCAGGAAAGUGAAACUGCCGCCUUGGUGGAUGCCCCGGUGGCCAAAGAUGAACAAAGUGUACCUGUCGCCUUGGUGGAUGCCCUGGUUGCCAAGGCAGAUGGAAGUGCAACCACCGUCGAGGCUGCGCCGGUGGUCACGCGGGAGAAGCAAGAAGAUGCCGUCACCGUAGACGCCCCUGUCCCGACGACGGCCAACGAGGUCGAAACUGCCACCAGAGCGUCUGCUCCUGCAACCAACGUGGACGAAAGCGCCGCAUUCCCGACCAAGCCGGUGCCGGAGGUGGAGGUGCCAGAGGCGGCAGAGCAACCCACGCCUUCCUUGAACAACGACGAUCUGAGAAACGAGCCAGAGCUGCCGAAGCCUACUGUCGUCAAAGAGGCCGCAGUCGAAUCCAAUGAUAAGACCGAGCAAACUAAGGAGGCAACGACGACGGAGGAGGAGGUGGUCACCGUCGAGGAGGUCGAUGUCGUGCCGCAAGAGGCCGAGAGCGUCUCCCGGGUGCCAGAACAGGAGGAGACAUCCGCGGCCACCUUGAGAGACGAUGAUGGGGAAUCGGACGAAAAAAAAACCACUGAUGUGAAGGAGGCCGCAAUAAGCACAGAGGAAAAGGGAGGGGAGGAUCAGCUGACCGUCGAGGAAGAGAAGAAGGACGGCGAAGAACAAGAACCAGCCGUCGCUCCGGUCGAGUCAUCGUCUAGUUGA